UACGUAGGGUGCAAGCGUUGUCCGGAAUUUAUUGGGCGUAAAGAGCUCGUAGGCGGUCUGUCGCGUCUGGUGUGAAAAUCCAGGGCUUAACCCUGGACCUGCAUCGGGUACGGGGCAGACUAGAGUGCGGUAGGGGGAGAUCGGAAUUCCUGGUGUAGCGGUGAAAUGCGCAGAUAUCAGGAGGAACACCGGUGGCGAAGGCGGAUCUCUGGGCCGAUACUGACGCUGAGGAGCGAAAGCGUGGGGAGCGAACAGG
rnacentral:rRNA from 1 species